CAAUAGCAUAUAUUAACGUUGUUGCAGUUGAAAAGCUCGUAGUUGAACUUUUGGUAGGAGCGACCUGGCCUUGGGCGCAUGCCCUUGUUUGCCGUGUGUCGUGUCUGGCCAUCCUUUUCCGCUUCGGCGGGAAUCUUUUACUGUGAGUAAACUGGAGUGCUCAAAACAAGACGUUUGUUUGGUACAUUAAAGCAUGGAAUAAUAAGAUAGGACCUGGUUACUAUUUUGUUGGUUUGCAUAGCUAGGUAAUGAUUAACAGGGACAGUUGGGGGUAUUCGUAUUUAAUUGUCAGAGGUGAAAUUCUUGGAUUUAUGAAAGACGAACGACUGCGAAAGCAUUUACCAAGGAUGUUUNCAUUAA
rnacentral:rRNA from 1 species